rfam:Strongylocentrotus purpuratus Contig75639_fixed, whole genome shotgun sequence.
GGCAUGGUGGCUCAGUGGUUAGAGCACCAGCCUCAUGAACGGGAGGUCGUGGGUUCGAACCCCGGCCAAGUCA